GACAGAGGGUGCAAACGUUGUUCGGAAUCACUGGGCGUAAAGCGCACGCAGGCGGAUUGAUAAGUCGGGGGUGAAAUCCCGGGGCUCAACCUCGGAAUUGCCUUCGAUACUGUCUGUCUUGAGUCCGGGAGAGGUGAGUGGAAUUCCUAGUGUAGAGGUGAAAUUCGUAGAUAUUAGGAAGAACACCAGUGGCGAAGGCGGCUCACUGGCCCGGUACUGACGCUCAUGUGCGAAAGCGUGGGGAGCAAACAGG
rnacentral:rRNA from 1 species